rnacentral:rRNA from 1 species
CAGUAGCCGCGGUAAUACGUAGGUGGCAAGCGUUGUCCGGAAUUAUUGGACGUAAAGGGCUCGCAGGCGGUUUCUUAAGUCUGAUGUGAAAGCCCCCGGCUCAACCGGGGAGGGUCAUUGGAAACUGGGAAACUUGAGUGCAGAAGAGGAGAGUGGAAUUCCACGUGUAGCGGUGAAAUGCGUAGAGAUGUGGAGGAACACCAGUGGCGAAGGCGACUCUCUGGUCUGUAACUGACGCUGAGGAGCGAAAGCGUGGGGAGCGAACAGGAUUAGAUACCCGGGUAGUCCCUGUCUCUUAUAC